CAGUAGCCACGGGAAUACGAAGGGUGCAAGCGUUACUCGGAAUUACUGGGCCUAAAGCGUGCGUAGGUGGUGGUUUAAGUCCGUUGUGAAAGCCCUGGGCUCAACCUGGGAAUUGCAGUGGAUACUGGAUCACUAGAGUGUGGUAGAGGAUAGUGGAAUUUCCGGUGUAGCAGUGAAAUGCGUAGAGAUCGGAAGGAACAUCUGUGGCGAAGGCGACUAUCUGGGCCAACACUGACACUGAGGCACGAAAGCGUGGGGAGCAAACAGGAUUAGAGACCCCGGUAGUCCCUGUCUCUUAUAA
rnacentral:rRNA from 1 species